UACGAAGGGUGCAAGCGUUACUCGGAAUUACUGGGCGUAAAGCGUGCGUAGGUGGUUCGUUAAGUCUGAUGUGAAAGCCCUGGGCUCAACCUGGGAACUGCAUUGGAUACUGGCGAUCUGGAGUGCGGUAGAGGGUGGCGGAAUUCCCGGUGUAGCAGUGAAAUGCGUAGAGAUCGGGAGGAACACCAGUGGCGAAGGCGGCUACCUGGACCAGCACUGACACUGAGGCACGAAAGCGUGGGGAGCAAACAGG
rnacentral:rRNA from 1 species